rnacentral:tRNA from 1 species
GGGGUUGUGGCUCAAGUGUAGAGCGCUCGCCUCGCAUGUGCGAGACCCUGGAUUCGAAUCUCAACCCCA